rnacentral:rRNA from 1 species
AGAACGAACGCUGGCGGCAGGCUUAACACAUGCAAGUCGAACGCCCCGCAAGGGGAGUGGCAGACGGGUGAGUAACGCGUGGGAAUCUACCCAGUUCUACGGAAUAACACAGGGAAACUUGUGCUAAUACCGUAUACGCCUACGGGGGAAAGAUUUAUCGGGAUUGGAUGAGCCCGCGUUGGAUUAGCUAGUUGGUGGGGUAAUGGCCUACCAAGGCGACGAUCCAUAGCUGGUCUGAGAGGAUGAUCAGCCACACUGGGACUGAGACACGGCCCAAACUCCUACGGGAGGCAGCAGUGGGGAAUAUUGGACAAUGGCGCAAGCCUGAUCCAGCCAUGCCGCGUGAGUGAUGAAGGCCCUAGGGUUGUAAAGCUCUUUUGUGCGGGAAGAUAAUGACGGUACCGCAAGAAUAAGCCCGGCUAACUUCGUGCCAGCAGCCGC